rnacentral:rRNA from 1 species
UACGGAGGAUCCGAGCGUUAUCCGGAUUUAUUGGGUUUAAAGGGUGCGUAGGCGGCCUUGUAAGUCAGCGGUGAAAUUUUGCAGCUUAACUGUAAAAGUGCCGUUGAUACUGUGAGGCUAGGAUUUGGUUGCUGUGGGUGGAAUGUGUGGUGUAGCGGUGAAAUGCUUAGAGAUCACACAGAAUAUCGAUUGCGAAGGCAGCUCACAAAGCCAAGAUUGACGCUGAGGCACGAAAGUGUGGGGAGUCAAACAGGAUUAGA